AGGGUGGCUACAAAGGAUACAACA
rnacentral:siRNA from 1 species